AUGGGGGCUCUCCCGGCGCUGCUGGGGGCCGCCUUGCUGUGGGCCGGCGCCGGGGCCCUCGUCAACCUCAAGUACUCGGUGGAGGAGGAGCAGCGGGCCGGCACGGUGAUCGCCAACGUCGCCAAGGACGCCCGGGACGCCGGUUUCGUGCUGGACCCUCGGCAGCCCGCCGCCUUCCGGGUGGUCUCCAACUCGGCCCCCCACUUGGUGGACAUCAGCCCCGGGUCCGGGCUGCUGGUGACCAAGCAGAAGAUCGACAGGGACCUGCUGUGCCGACAGAGCCCCAAGUGUGUCAUCUCGCUGGAGGUGAUGUCCAGCUCCAUGGAGAUCUGCGUGAUCAAGCUGGAGAUCAAGGACCUAAACGACAAUGCGCCCAGCUUCCCCACCGACCAAAUCGAGCUGGAGAUCUCGGAAACGGCCAGCCCUGGCACCCGGGUGCCGCUGGAGAGUGCCUAUGACCCGGACUCGGGCAGCUUUGGUGUGCAGAGCUAUGAGAUCACCCCCAAUGACCUCUUUGGGCUGGAGACCAAGACGCGGGGUGAUGGGUCCCGUUUUGCUGAGCUGGUGGUGGAGAAGAGCCUGGACCGUGAGACCCAGUCCCACUACAGCUACGUGAUCACGGCGCUGGAUGGUGGCGACCCACCCAACUUUGGCACAGUGGAGCUCAGCAUCCGCGUCAUCGACUCCAAUGACAACAACCCGCUCUUCGAGGAGCCAGCCUACACCGUCAGCGUGCCUGAAAACGCCCCACCGGGGACGCCAGUCAUCCGCCUCAAUGCCUCUGACCCGGACGAGGGCACCAACGGCCAGGUCCUCUACUCUUUCCACAGCUACGUCUCUGAGCGGGCUCGGGAGCUCUUCCAGAUCGACCCCCAGAGUGGCCUCAUCACGGUGAGCGGUGCCAUUGACUAUGAGGAGGGUCACGUCUACGAGCUGGACGUGCAGGCCAAGGACUUGGGGCCUAACUCCAUCCCUGCUCAUUGCAAAGUGACCAUCAGUGUCCAGGAUGCCAACGACAACCCGCCCCUCAUCAACCUGCUCUCUGUCAACAGUGAGCUGGUGGAGGUGAGCGAGAACGCCCCGCCGGGGUACGUCAUCGCCCUGGUGCGCGUCUCGGAUCGCGACUCCGGGGCCAACGGGCGGGUGCAGUGCAAGCUCCUGGGCAAUGUGCCUUUUCGACUCCAGGAGUACGAGAGCUUCUCCACCAUCCUGGUGGAUGGGCGGCUGGACCGGGAGCAGAGGGACCAGUACAACCUCACCAUCCAGGCUAGGGAUAAUGGCAUCCCUUCCCUGCAGGCCACCAAAUCCUUCACUGUCAAGAUCACCGAUGAGAAUGACAACCAUCCCCACUUCUCCAAGCCCUAUUACCAAGUCAUCGUGCAGGAGAACAACACCCCGGGGGCCUACCUCCUGUCUGUCUCGGCCAGAGACCCCGACCUGGGCCUCAAUGGCAGCGUGUCCUACCAGAUCGUGCCCUCCCAAGUCAGGGACAUGCCUGUUUUCACCUAUGUCUCCAUCAACCCCAACUCUGGAGAUAUCUAUGCUUUGAGGUCCUUCAAUCAUGAACAGACCAAGGCCUUUGAGUUCAAGGUCUUGGCGAAAGAUGGGGGUAAUCCCUCUCUUCAGAGCAAUGCCACUGUCAGGGUGAUUGUCCUGGAUGUGAAUGACAACACGCCCGUGAUCACGGCCCCGCCGCUGGUCAACGGGACGGCGGAGGUGUACAUCCCCAGGAACGCGGGGGUUGGCUACUUGGUGACAGUGGUCAAGGCAGAUGACUAUGAUGAGGGUGAAAAUGGCAGACUUUCCUAUGAAAUGGUGGAAGGAGACAGAGGAUUUUUUGAGAUCGACCAGGUGAAUGGAGAGAUUAGGACCACCAGAGCCUUUGGGGAAAAUGCCAAAACAGCCUAUGAGCUCAUCGUGGUGGCUCAUGACCAUGGGAAAACAUCUCUCUCUGCUUCUGCCUUGAUUUUGAUAUACCUGUCUCCUGCCCUGGAUGCCCAGGAGUCCAUAGGAUCUGUUAACCUCUCCUUGAUUUUCAUUAUUGCCCUGGGGUCUAUUGCAGCCAUUCUUUUUGUCACCAUGAUCUUUGUGGCAGUCAAGUGCAAAAGGGAUAACAAGGAAAUCAGGACCUACAACUGCAGAAUCGCGGAGUACUCCUACGGGCAUCAGAAGAAAUCGAGCAAGAAGAAGAAAAUCAGCAAGAAUGACAUCCGCCUGGUACCGCGGGACGUGGAGGAGACGGAUAAAAUGAACGUUGUGAGCUGCUCCUCUCUCACUUCCUCCCUCAACUACUUCGACUACCACCAGCAGACCCUGCCGCUGGGCUGCCGCCGCUCCGAGAGCACCUUCCUCAACGUGGAGAGCCAGAACAACAGGAACGCCGGCUCCAACCACAUCUACCACCACACCUUCACGGGGCAGAGCCCCCAGCAGCCCGACCUCAUCAUCAACGGCAUGCCGCUGCCCGAGACUGAAAACUACUCCUUUGAUUCCAACUACGUGAACAGCAGAGCUCAUUUAAUAAAAAGCUCCACGUUCAAGGACUUGGAGGGGAACAGUCUGAAGGACAGUGGCCAUGAGGAGAGCGACCAGACGGACAGCGAGCACGACGUGCAGCGGGGCCUCUACUGCGACACGGCCGUCAACGAUGUGCUCAACACCAGCGUCCCCUCCAUGGGCUCCCAGGGCCCCGAGCAAGAGCAGAGCGAGGGUUUCCACUGCCGGGAGGAGUGCCGCAUCCUGGGCCACUCGGACAGGUGCUGGAUGCCCCGCGGUGCCGUGCCCAGCCGCGCCAAGUCCCCCGAGCACGGCAGGAACGUCAUCGCCCUGUCCAUCGAGGCCACGGCGGUGGACGCAGAGCCUUACGCAGACUGCAGCACAAAAAGGACCUUCGCCACCUUCGGCAAGGAGGGCGGCGAGCCCCCGGCCGAGGAGCGGCUCGCCAACCCCAAAGGCAAAAGAACGGUGGACUCGGCCGCCUGCAGCCCCAAGGUGAGCGGCGCCGUCCGCGAGGCCGGCAACGGCUGCGAGGCCGUGAGCCCCAUCACCUCGCCCCUGCACCUGAAGAGCCCCUUGUCCGGCAAGCCGGGAGCGCCCUACGGGGCCGGGCACUGCGCCGGCAGCCGGGAGCCCUUGGGGAACACUGGCCUUUCCCGGCCCUCCGAGGCAGAGCCCCGGGGCGCGGACAGCGAGAGCAGCGGGCAGGAGGGCAACCCGCUCCUGCAGGAGCGCCGGGAAAAGGACUCGCCCGGCGCCCGGAGACUAAAGGACAUCGUCCUCUGAGCGGCGCUCGGCCGGAGGAGGACGAGGACGAGGGACCGCACGACUCCCAGCGCAGAUUGUUUUUAUCGCUUACCAAUGGUUCACAGAUUGCUGUAUUUAAAAGCUUUCCCUAAAUGUAUUGUUUAUAAGCGAAGCUAUCGUUAAUGUGACAAUCGCACGUGUCUCGCCAGGCGGCAGGGUGUGUGCAGCCGGAGCGGAGGAGCCGCUGUUCUGCUCCUGCUGGGAGGUGGCGGGUGGCGGGGGCACAGCCAGACCCCCCCAGUCCUCAGGAGCGCUCGGUACCCCCUCCUCGGAGUUUAUAUAUUUUUGUAUCUCAAAACGAAGAUAAAUUUCCAUUCCUGGAGAGAAUUGAGUGGCAAAUUCCUUAUUCGGACACCUUUAGUUACCACCCCGGCGGUUUUGUAGCGGACGAAGUCGCGGCUGUUUCUUGUGUGGGACUGUUCAAAGUGGCAGUCGGAUUUGGUUUAGGAAAAAUCACUGGGAUCUGUCGGUUUCCUUCAGGCAAACUUGCUCUGCUCCCCUGCUUGUCCCGGCGAGCAGCGAGGAUUCUCCCCCGAGCGUGACGAGGACCCCGACUGGAGCAGCUCUGGGGCCGGGGGCCAGCGCCAAGCUCUUCCCUUGGAGCCCCCGGCCUUCCCCUCGAGCUGCAGGGCUGUGCCAGGAGGGAUGGAGGAGGCCUGGGGGCACAACUGAUGGCUGGAAAAAUCCCCCCCCAAGCACUGUCUGCUGAGGUUGUUGCCGUUCCCUGUUUGUUGUGAGCUGGAGGUGGCCUGUGGAUCACACUUUGUGCAAAAGUGAAUUCCUUUUUUUUUUUAGUUUUUCCAAAUAGGAAACGAGUUGCUUUUGUGAAGAAUACACUGUCUGAUGAAUAUGUUGAAAUUAUUCUUGGGGACGGGGGGGAAGGAAAAAAAAAAAUUAAUUUUGAAUGGAAACACAUUUGUCUGUCAUUGGGGAAAAUUGAUGGUCUUGUUGCUCCAGCUGCUUUUGCAGCUAUGGGUAAUCUCUGAUCCAACCUGUGAGCUGCGGUCCCUGCCGGGGAGAAGCCCAGCCGCCCCCGCUGCGAGCUGUGCCGGGACUGAGACGGAGCCUCCGCCGCUGGCAGCUGAUGUUCAGCUGCUGCUGCCUGGGCUGGGGGCUCCAGACACCCUCAGAGCCGGCUCCAGACACCCUCAGAGCCGGCUCCAGACACCCUCAGAGCCGGCUCCAGACACCCUCAGAGCCGGCUCCAGACACCCUCAGAGCCGGCUCUCCCCGGCGGGCGCGGCACCGAGCGCGGUACGUCUCGUCAUGGUGUCUCCGUUGCCGAGUAUAUGAAGAAUAAAUUGUUGUAUAUGCUGAUAUGUAUGUUAUGUACAUUUUCACAGUGAUUGAAUCAUUGUAAACAACAAAAUGGAAAAAGGAAAAAAAAAAAAAAAAGAAUCACCAUUCUGUCUAUUUUAUGAAGAUGAUAAAGCAGCUUUAUUAAAUUAUUAUGAUUCUGUUUCCAAAUGGUGUACCUGCCACAUUGGGAUUUUUUCAUCUGAUGAGAACUUUGUUUUCCACCUAAAUGUGAUUUUCUUUUCUCUGCUUUGAGCAUCUAAUGCAUUUUAGUAUUAAAGCAAUUAUUGAAUAAAAUGGAAAGUAAGUGUUUG